GCUCGCGCACCUCGUCCUCGUACAGCUGCACCGUCUCCCGCCACGACUCGGCCACCAGCAGUGCGUAGCUGUCGUGCACCUCCCGCAGGCGUGGCGGCGGCGCGGCGGGGCCGGUGGCGCGGGCGCGGAAAUGCAUGGCUGAACACCUUAGGGACCAUCAACCCCCGGUGGUGUCGUUUCCAGUGAAAACCGAACUCCGGGAUGUAGCCGGAUUGGAGAGAAGCGAGUGACGCGUGCGCCCCCUUCCUGCGGCGGAUGGAUGAACGGGUGAUUGUGAACAUCUGGUGAGAGAAUGGAUGUGAAGGUCUUUUUAGCAACAUUAGAACACUACAAAAAUCACACAUCUGAGUCAGUUCUGGGGAGGCUGGCGCCAUCCUUCUCGAAUGCUCUCCCCUUUGGGGGACACAUACCCAGCCCUUCUCCUGGAACAGGGACAAGACUCAAAUGGAAUUCCUGCCCUGCUGGGAAGCAGCUUCCUGGGGGCCAGCUGUGACCCCCCCCGGAGGCUGGGUGACGGUCAGCAGGGUGAGCACACAGAGGUGCCUCCGUAUUCUCACUUCACUCUUGGCCCUGAUGUCCUGAACUGGA
rnacentral:lncRNA from 1 species